rnacentral:lncRNA from 1 species
GUUUCUGCUGGGCAUACUGGCUGCUUGUCUUAGUGCUUCCAGAGCCCCAUGAAGGCUGGGUGUGAGAAGAUUCCCUGCCAGGGCAGAGCAGGGAGUGAAGACUGGCCUCAGUUCUGCCUGGGUUCUAUCUCCUGGCAAUCUGGGCAAGAUUUGUGCCAGGUGUCAGGCUGCUUUAAGUGCUUUCUGGACCACCAGCCCAUUUACAAACCUCUGCAGCAGGGCCAGUUACCUCUUCUCCAUAAGAUGUUUCAGAGCAACACUUGAGGACACCUUUGAGGGGUUACUGAGAUGUCAGAUUGAUCACUUAUUUGUGGCAUGUUUUGGAGCUUCAUGUGAAAGUAGACUAGCUGAGCAGUCCAACUGCUUUUGCCAAGCACUCCUUGUGCUUCCUACACCUGCUUGGCCCAUCUCUUCCAGACCAGCCUGCUCUCAAACCUCCCUCUUACCACCAAAAGCAACAGAUGCAGCUCCUGUAGUCCAUCCAUCUCUGUGAUGAGCAGCCAGAUCCCACCUGGCACUGAUUCAGAGUCUCAUCCCAUCAAGGUAAAAAGUUUUCUCCCAUUGAAAGACUGGCAAAAGCUUAACACAUAGUGCUCAUUGGAAAAAGAGCCUGUUCUGCUCUCCCUUGUGCUGUCCCCUUGGUGUGCCCAGCCCCUGGCAGUGAGCACCUGGAGAUUUUUCACACCUAAUCUAAUCUAAUGUGGAAGCACUUCAUUCUUUGCUUCCUGGGCUUGUAAAUAAUAGAUGGGUGAGGCCAGGCUGGCAGUAGUACCCCCAUAAGCAGCUGUUUGGAGCACCCCAUGCUCUCAGUCCCCAUCCUGGGGCUGGCUGUCCCUCUCCCUGCUGCCUUGCAGGGGGUGGCCAGGUCCCAACAGCACCAAAACCUGAGCAGGGUUGUGGGGUGAUGGGGAGAAGCCCAGAGGGAGGGAGGGAGCCUUAAAUAUUCUGUCUGCUCUAUCUUCUGGGAGAUAAUACUUUUAAUUUUCGGCACACAAAGAAUAUGUCCUGAACCAGAAGGGGUUUGCCUAAUUCAUCAUGCUUGCUUUCCACACAAUACCAGGGAUGACAAGCAUAACAUUUUAAAAUGAGAGAAGUGGACAUAAUUAAUGCUCAUGAAUUGCAAACGCUUCUUUAUUAAAGGGCUCCUGCUUG